rnacentral:lncRNA from 1 species
UUGGUCUGGUGUUAAUUUCCAGGCCUUCUCCCUCUAACCGGUUUCAGAAAUAAAAACUCUCUUUCUCCCCAGUUCAUCUGGAUCUGGUUAUUGGGCCAUGUGAAAUAGCCCAACCCUUAGUUUGGUCUGAGAACAAAAUUUGACAAGACAGCCAGGAGAGACCGGGACGGUGUGUGUUCAAUGGCCAGUGGCUUCCGAUGAGACAGUCUUCGGGAGGAUCCCGGCAGCUGCUGGGUGGGAUUUUCCCGGAACCCUCCCGAGGGCUGUCUCUUGUUCAAAAUUGCACAUCCUUUUCACUACUGAGGAAGAACGGAGAUCAGGAGCAGAUGCUCUCAAAGGGACCCACAGCUCAAUACUGAACAAUUCCAAAUAGAUACAUAUGAUCCGGACACACAGGAGGUUAUUUCCAAGGGAACAGCUAUCGUGGCGGACUGGAUAAAACCACUAUUGGAGAAAAAAUAAAAUUAGAAGAAAAAGGUUAUAAUGAGAACACUAACAAUUGCCUCAAGAUAAGAUUGACAAAAGGAUCCAAAUCCUUUGACCCAACCCCCUCCUGGGAACUCAAAUUCUUUUACACAAGAAAGGGUAAAAUGGUCUGCGAGUGGAAAUGGAAGUUACUGGGACCAGAACAUAAAAAUGACUAAUAUGGAAGUGUUUAAGAAGCUGCUGGAUUCUAUAGUGCCCAAGAAACAGCUCUCAUCAGACUGACAAAGAGCUACUUGGUUUGUGGAAGGCGUUUCAAGGGAGACUGGACAACAUCUUGUUGGGAAGGCUGUUACUCUGAAGAAGAAUCAAGAGAACCUAUUUUCUUUCUAGCUAUUUACAGCUUAGAAAAGUUGUGACACAAUUGGAGACACUGAUUAUUUUAUCAAGGCUUUGACUGGAAUGGCAUAUAUUCAAAUAUGACCAGAUUGAGGAAUUGAGGUCAAGUUUAUGGAGCCAAUAAAAAUUCCCUUGGAAAGACUGACCUAGUUAGUACCUUUUCUAAAUGGUUCCUUUACAAGGAUUCUUUGUAAAGAAUGUCACUUUCUAUUAAAAAUAGGCCCAGGAACCCCAAAACAUUUGGGGACCUCAAGAAGAGAGGAAUUCGUACAGAUAUUAUAAGCAAAGUCUAAGGGUAAAUCCUUGGGUUGGCUUCUGGCCUUGAGGAUUUUAAAACGUUGAGUCUAAAAUUCCUUAUAAAAGUUCCAGCAAAGCCAGGUUAAAAGGAGUCUAUAUGGCUGAUCACUAUGCUUGCUACACUUUAUGCAAAUAACCAUGGCAAGUACAAUGAGAACAAAAUUUAUUUUGCAAACAAAUUGGUCUUAUUGUUACAGGUAGUCAGGCAUGAGCAGGGCAGGAGAGGGACCCCCCUCCCACUACCCACCAGGAAUGUCAGGUGAUCAUCAGGUGAUGGUUUGGCAUCUAUCACACUUCCUCUCUAAAAAUGAUAAUUGGCAGCCAGCACCAGGGAGAUGCCAUUUUCUGAAGGUGCACAGUUAUGACAAUAAAAUAAUAGAUCGCAGGUUCCAGCGAGAGGCAGUUUCUCUACAGAUAAAAACAUUUGAAAUUGGUAAUUGGCAGCUUAGGAAUUGGGUGAGCACACUCCAGCAUGUGCGUUAAG